rnacentral:rRNA from 1 species
AUUGAACGCUGGCGGCAGGCUUAACACAUGCAAGUCGAGCGGGGUGAUGGUGCUUGCACCGCUGACGAGUGGCGAACGGGUGAGUAAUGCGUCGGAACGUGCCGAGUAGUGGGGGAUAACGCAGCGAAAGUUGUGCUAAUACCGCAUACGUACGGAAAGGACAUCCUUUUUGUAUCAAAGGAGCAAUCCGGUAGAAGAUGGGCCCGCGUCCGAUUAGCUAGUUGGAGGUGUAACGGACCACCAAGGCGACGAUCGGUAGCCGAACUGAGAGGUUGAUCGGCCACAUUGGGACUGAGACACGGCCCAGACUCCUACGGGAGGCAGCAGUGGGGAAUAUUGCGCAAUGGGGGAAACCCUGACGCAGCAACGCCGCGUGAAGGAUGAAGGUCUUCGGAUUGUAAACUUCUUUAGUCGGGGACGAAGAAAUGACGGUACCCGAAGAAUAAGCCACGGCUAACUACGUGCCAGCCGCCGCCGUAA